rnacentral:tRNA from 1 species
GUGUAUAUAGCUCAGUUGGUUAGAGUGCCAGAUUGUGACUCUGGAGGUCGUCGAUUCAAAUUCGACUAUACACC